CGUAGGUAACCUGCCUGGUAGCGGGGGAUAACUAUUGGAAACGAUAGCUAAUACCGCAUAACAGUCGACAUUGCAUGAUGUUGAUUUGAAAGGGGCAAUUGCUCCACUACCAGAUGGACCUGCGUUGUAUUAGCUAGUUGGUGAGGUAACGGCUCACCAAGGCGACGAUACAUAGCCGACCUGAGAGGGUGAUCGGCCACACUGGGACUGAGACACGGCCCAG
rnacentral:rRNA from 2 species